rnacentral:rRNA from 1 species
ACAUCCCGGAGACCCUUAGGAACUAGGGGUGGCUUCCAUCUGGAGAAUCUGGAGACAGGUGCUGCAUGGCUGUCGUCAGCUCGUGUCGUGAGAUGUUGGGUUAAGUCCCGCAACGAGCGCAACCCUUGCCUUUAGUUGCCAGCAGUUCGGCUGGGCACUCUAAAGGGACUGCCGGUGUUAAACCGGAGGAAGGUGGGGAUGACGUCAAGUCCUCAUGGCCUUUAUGACCAGGGCUACACACGUACUACAAUGGCCGAUACAAAGGGCAGCGACACUGCGAGGUGAAGCCAAUCCCGUAAAAUCGGUCUCAGUCCGGAUUGGAGUCUGCAACUCGACUCCAUGAAGUUGGAAUCGCUAGUAAUCGUGGAUCAGCAUGCCACGGUGAAUACGUUCCCGGGCCUU